rnacentral:tRNA from 1 species
GCUUGGCUGACUCAGUUGGUAAAGCAUGCGACUCUUGAUCUCAGGGUCAUGAGUUCAAGCCCCAUGUCGGGCA